rnacentral:misc_RNA from 1 species
GGUCUCGCUCGUCCCUCUCCGCCCCCAGCCCUCGCGGGUUGCGGGGUGGACAUCAGGCACGCCCCGUGUUCCAGGCAAGCCGUUCGGCUGCCUCGGCCCACGGUGUGCCCUGCCCGUUCUCUCGGAUGCAGAACGUUACGCGCGGGCGKGGGGUCUUUGGCUCCGUUUGCCCGAGCAACGCAUCUGUCCCUCGACGCGAAUGACUGCCGUGCCCGUCUUGAGCCCGCGGCCUCACGGCCCGUCGGGUGUCAUGCGGGCGUCGGCGUCGCGAAGGAAUGCUACCUGGUUGAUCCUGCCAGUAGUCAUA